AGAGUUUGAUCAUGGCUCAGAAUGAACGCUGGCGGCGUGCUUAACACAUGCAAGUCGAACGAGAAAGCCUUACUUUCGGGUGGGCGAGUAAAGUGGCGCACGGGUGAGUAACGCGUAGAUGAUCUACCCUUGAGUUCGGGACAACCUUGCGAAAGCGGGGCUAAUACCGGAUACGAUCCUUUCGGGGAUGAAAGUUGGCCGCUCGAAGAAGCUAACGCUCGGGGAUGAGUCUGCGUCCUAUCAGCUAGUUGGUAGGGUAAAGGCCUACCAAGGCGACGACGGGUAGCUGGUCUGAGAGGAUGAUCAGCCACACUGGCACUGACACACGGGCCAGACUCCUACGGGAGGCAGCAGUGAGGAAUUUUGCGCAAUGGGGGAAACCCUGACGCAGCAACGCCGCGUGGGUGAUGAAGGCCUUCGGGUCGUAAAGCCCUGUCAGGUGGGAAGAAUAGCUUGGGGUCUAAUAGGCUUUGAGUAUGACGGUACCACCAGAGGAAGCACCGGCUAACUCCGUGCCAGCAGCCGCGGUAAUACGGAGGGUGCUAGCGUUAUUCGGAAUUACUGGGCGUAAAGCGCGUGUAGGCGGGGAGGUAAGUCUGAUGUGAAAGCCCUGGGCUCAACCUGGGAAGUGCAUUGGAAACUGUUUUCCUUGAGUUCCGGAGAGGAUGGGGGAAUUCCCGGGUGUAGAGGUGAAUUCGUAGAGAUCGGGAGGAAUACCAGUGGCGAAGCGCUCAUCUGGACGGUAACUGACGCUGAGACGCGAAGCGUGGGGAGCAACAGGAUUAGAUACCCUGGUAGUCCACG
rnacentral:rRNA from 1 species